AGAAAAUAGAUACCCGGGUAGUCCACGCCGUAAACGAUGAAUACUAGGUGUAGGGGUUGUCAUGACCUCUGUGCCGCCGCUAAACGCAUUAAGUAUUCCGCCUGGGGAGUACGGUCGCAAGAUUAAAACUCAAAGGAAUUGACGGGGGCCCGCACAAGCAGCGGAGCAUGUGGUUUAAAUUCGAAGCAACGCGAAGAACCUUACCUAGACUUGACAUCUCCUGAAUUACCCUUAAUCGGGGAAGCCCUUCGGGGCAGGAAGACAGGUGGUGCAUGGUUGUCGUCAGCUCGUGUCGUGAGAUGUUGGGUUAAGUCCCGCAACGAGCGCAACCCUUAUUGUUAGUUGCUACCAUUUAGUUGAGCACUCUAGCGAGACUGCCCGGGUUAACCGGGAGGAAGGUGGGGAUGACGUCAAAUCAUCAUGCCCCUUAUGUCUAGGGCUACACACGUGCUACAAUGGCUGGUACAGAGAGAUGCUAAACCGCGAGGUGAGCCAAACUUUAAACCAGUCUCAGUUCGGAUUGUAGGCUGAAACUCGCCUACACGAAG
rnacentral:rRNA from 1 species